GUUUAAGAGUGAUUCAUCUCCAUAUGGGAACCUGUAGGGCACAACACACAAGGGUGGAUUUGUGAGGAAAAUAAUUGUUCAAGAAUUUGUCAAGGUAUUUGCUUUCAUGAUAGUCUUUGUUUAAGAAUUUCUCCCCCGUGCCAUCCAUGUGACCCUGUACGAAAUGUCCACCCGUUUGACUAACCGGUGUUACUUCCCUUUCAAGAACCGUCUUUGCCUUGACCUUUAAGUUGAAACUGCCGUCUGAGGCCACUCCAAGAUGCUAGACGGUACCCAUUGGAUGGGACAGUAUUACUGCUAAAUUUCAAUGACGGUAACCAUGUACACAAUAAACUAGCAGAUCAUACAAUAUUUUUUUAUAUAAAACAGAUAAAAUUCAAAUUAACGGAUGUUAUUUUCGAACAAACAAAUUGAAUUGUGUCGGGGGUACACUAUCAGGUCUCGGAAACAAACAUUUAUUGAC
rnacentral:lncRNA from 1 species